GACGAACGCUGGCGGCGUGCUUAACACAUGCAAGUCGAACGGAAAGGCCCUGCUUUUGUGGGGUGCUCGAGUGGCGAACGGGUGAGUAACACGUGAGUAACCUGCCCUUGACUUUGGGAUAACUUCAGGAAACUGGGGCUAAUACCGGAUAGGAGCCCCUGCUGCAUGGUGGGGGUUGGAAAGUUUCGGCGGUUGGGGAUGGACUCGCGGCUUAUCAGCUUGUUGGUGGGGUAGUGGCUUACCAAGGCUUUGACGGGUAGCCGGCCUGCGAGGGUGACCGGCCACAUUGGUACUGAGAUACGGCCCAGACUCCUACGGGAGGCAUGAGCGGGGAAUAUUGCACAAUGGGCGGAAGCCUGAUGCAGCAACGCCUCGUGCGGGAUGACGGCCUUCGGGUUGUAAUCCGCUUUCGCCUGUGACGAAGCGUGAGUGACGGUAAUGGGUAAAGAAGCACCGGCUAACUACGUG
rnacentral:rRNA from 1 species